CGUGUAGGUGGUUCUGUAUGUCUACCGUGAAAGCGUACGGCUCAACCGUAUUUAGUCGGUAGAAACUGCAGGACUUGAGGCUGGGAGGGGCUGGUGGAAUUCCCCGUGUAGCGGUGAAAUGCGUAGAGAUGGGGGAGAACACUCGUGGCGAAGGCGGCCAGCUAGACCAGUUCUGACACUGAGGCGCGACAGCGUGGGGAGCAAACA
rnacentral:rRNA from 1 species